GAUAAUUUUACGCUGCCUUAUGACAAACUGCCCUACUUUGGCAAAAUGUCCUACUGUACGUAAUUUAUGCACAUUUCUGCUGCCACACAAUAAUUCCAGUACAAAUUUAAGUAGGUAUGACGGUUUGCCACUUAACUUUGCCCAUCAGAGUAUGUUUGUAGCUGAUAUUCAUAAAGCCAGUACGGUUUGACACUUCUUUUUACCCAUUAAAGUGUGCUUGUAGGUCACAUUCACAAAGGUAGCAUGGUUUGGCACGUAAUUCUUCCCGUCAGAGUAUGCUUCUUGCUCUUAUUCACAAAGGUAGCAUGUUUUGGCACGUAAUUCUUCCCGUCAGAGUAUGCUUCUAGUUUAUAAUAACAAAGGUAGCAUGUUUUGGCACGUAAUUCUUCCCGUCAGAGUAUGCUUCUAGUUUAUAAUAACAAAGGUAGCAUGUUUUGUACGUAAUUCUUCCCGUCAGAAUUAUGCUUCUUGCUCUUAUUAACAAAGGUAGCAUGUUUUGGCACGUAAUUCUUCCGUCAGAGUAUGCUUCUUGCUCUUAUUCACAAAG
ensembl:lncRNA